rnacentral:rRNA from 1 species
UUUAUCGGAGAGUUUGAUCCUGGCUCAGGACGAACGCUGGCGGCGUGCCUAAUACAUGCAAGUCGAGCGGACAGAUGGGAGCUUGCUCCCUGAU